rnacentral:ncRNA from 14 species
CAUUAGUUUAGUGGUAAAAGAUCUGCCUUCCAAGCAGAUGUCCCCAGUUCGAUUCCCGGAUG